AAAGUUUCUUGCUCAAAUGAGUAUUCCAAACAACAGCUUGUGAAGCAAUGAUUACUGUCAUAGUCUCUGCAUGUGGAUUGUUGUUGAGAUGCUCAUUUGAGGAAGCA
rnacentral:pre_miRNA from 11 species